rnacentral:rRNA from 1 species
UACGUAGGGGGCUAGCGUUGUCCGGAUUUGUUGGGCGUAAAGAGCGUGUAGGCGGCCAGGUAGGUCUGGUGUGAAAACUCGAGGCUUAACCUCGAGAUGUCAUCGGAAACCAUUUGGCUAGAGUCCGGAAGAGGAGAGUGGAAUUCCUGGUGUAGCGGUGAAAUGCGCAGAUAUCAGGAAGAACACCAAUGGCGAAAGCAGCUCUCUGGGACGGUACUGACGCUGAGACGUGAAAGCGUGGGGAGCAAACAGG